rnacentral:lncRNA from 1 species
UCUCCAUGAAAAAAUAAAUGCAAGGAAAUUUCAAACUGCGCGAAGAUGCGCAGUUCUGUAUCCUGUGUUAACUACCUACAUACCUAGGUAGAAUGAUCUUGAAUGUGGAUCCAGACAGACUCUCUUUAUCAAAGGAUUUUCUCACAAAAUGACAGAUGACCCAGCAGCUAAAAAUACAUCCUUUACGAUUUUGUUUUCAGUUCCUUCACCCACCUCGACCAUGCCAUAUAGGUAUACGUGUUAGGGGACCAGGGAUUUUUGCUAUCGAAACAUUCUGCGAGAAAGGGAGCUACGACCCAGGCAAAAUGACAAAUAUUCGGAUAAAUUUCAGGAAGAAUAUUUUCUCGUCCACUCACUCACACGAAACACAAAACAAAAACAUACAUUAUGCAAACAAAGUGAAACAUUUACCUUGGAAACACAGAAAACCCUGCAAAUAAACGAACAGUGGGGUCAGGAAACAUAUCUUGAUAGGAAAAAGAAAGGAUGGAUAAAAAACUAUGAAAGAGAGAAACACAGGUUUCACAAUAUACAAUGUUUUCCUGUAUGCUUGUUUGACAACCAUACAUAGCAACAGACAGCAAUGUACAACAAGGCCACAUCCCUUCUAGAAAGUUCGACAGAAAAAUGGCAGGAGGGCAAAGAGGUCACAUUAGUCCACAGGGUCUGUGUGGACAGGAUACUACAGGGGCAUUGUCUUAGAACUCCCGUUUGUACAAAGAUAUUCCACAUGAAUAUUCCGGUAAACCAAUCUCAGUUUGCUCCUGGAUGAUCCAUGGAGGUAUUCUUGGAAACACAACACUCCUCGGCAACAUUCCCGGCAUGCAUAUUCAUGGCUAACUGUAAGUGGUGUCCAGACGUAGGACUCAGCUGAGUGGUGUAUAGACAAAACUGCUCGAGAACAAUGGCCUGUUACUUCUGUCCACCUACCACCCACCACUCAACCACCCCGGGUCUGUGUAAACCUUAAAGUUUUCUUUCAAAAGUCCCCCGUGUAAAAAAGAAUAAUGAAUGAUAAUGGAAUCCUGAUUAGCUUCUCUUUAUAAACUGUCUGGAGUUUUCUGUGCGGAGUAAGUGUAUGGAUUGUUCUGUAUGCCUACAGUAGACAUGUCACCAGCCACUGCAAUUAAUUAAUCAAUCAAUCGAUCGAUCUACCUUGUAAGUAAUCACGUGCCUUUGUUCUGUCAGCGCCAAAGGCUGUAGUACAAAGGGAGCAAGGAAAAUAAUUAGAGUGACUCAGAAAUGAGUGAUGGUGAUCAUGAUGUGCUCAACAUACAUAAUUCAGUAUAUAUAAUCAUUACAUUAAAUAUCUCAACAUUAAUUUACAUUAUAUCAAGUAUCUAUAAUGUCAAGUGGUUAAAUUUAGCCCUAAUUAAACGAACAAACAUUUUAAAGCACCAAGUGUUGACAACUAUUUUUAAACUUGUAGAUAAUAAGCAAAUGUUUAUUAACUACCAGCAACAGGAACUUCCCUGUUUAUCAUUAUAACUAUAAAUUACAAAUGAAGAGGACUUUUAUAUUUUGAUGAAUGAUCCUCCCUCUACAAUUUGCGAAACAACCUCCAGCCACCGAGGGUGACAUACAAGACCGACAUUAUUGGAGUCUGUGCUAUUCUUCAUACCCGCUAUUCUUCUACUGAUAUGUGUGAUAGCUUAUCUACUACAGCAGUACAUUCGUCAACCACACUAAUAUACCGACUGUAACCAUGAUGAACUGAUGCUCCUCCUCUUUCAACACCAUCCUUGCCUCAUCGACACUCUCCUCUGUAUUCUUUAUCUCUGUAUCCUUUAGUUCAUCAUUUAUUUGUUUAUUCAGUAUUUUCAAAUGGUUCAAAAGGAGAAGGGAGAGAGAGAGAAG